ensembl:lncRNA
GGCAGGGCCAGCCCAGGGGAGCACAGGUGCAUGCAGUGUAAUGUAAUGCAAUACAAGGUACCUGAGUGACUAGAAAGGCUGGAACCAGGAUCCACCCAGACUCCAUUUAAGGGCUGGCAAUGGAGGUGAAUGUAUUUCAUCUGGAGGUCUCUGCCUAUAUGAAGGUCUUUCUGAAGUUUCAAUUACAAGAUUUUAUUCCUGCUAUUAAUUUUCACUGUCAUCUGAAAUCUAAGGAUCUGAUGUAAUAAAGUUCAAUUGUGGGGGGAAUUGGAAGCUUCUCUGCUGUUUGCUGUGUUCAGUCAAGAAGUGCACACUUCUAAAUCAAUGGAAAUCCUAGCAAGUAUUGUACAGAGGUUACCAGAAAUGUUAAAAAUGCUUCUUUAUAUAAAUAAUGCUAUGAGGUUUGCCUUAAAUGAGCUCACUAUUGCUGACUGUUUACUACCAACUCUAAAUUAACUUUUCUGUGACCGACUUGCUCUUGUUGGGAUGCUGGUCCAUGCUGGGAAAGGCAGCAAGGGGCAGCACCACUGCGCUGGGACUCUGUGCUCUUGGCUUUAGUUUCUUUGUGCUCCCUUCCCUGCAAAACAGCAAGUCUUUUGCACUUGGACCUUGAUGCCAGCAGCUGCCAAUCUGAGUGUAGGGGCUGUAGGGGUGAAGAGGAUCUGAAGAGAGGAAUUUACUGGGCUGCCUUUAUGCUCACCUUCUUCUCUGGGCUCCUGAAAUCAUCGUCAAUAUACAGCCAAAUGAAACCUCUAGUCUUAGAAAAUAAAAAAUGAGAAGAAAUCAGAGCUCUUUCAAGUGCUGACAGAAAUGAAAGAUAACUCCGGUUUCAGCUGCCUGCAAGAAUCUUUGUGUUAUGAUCCAUCAAUCCCUCUACUCCACCGACUAGCACCAAAACAUACGCUUUGUUUUUCACAUCACCCCAAAGAGAAUUUGGCAUCAGCUGCUGGCUAAAGCACUGCAAAGGUAGCUUUGUGCAGGAUAGAAGAAAUGAGUGACAGGUUGCACAUCUAGAACCCCACUGGGUUCCAUCCCACAGCUCCAUGGCCUGCAGCUCUGAUCAGCAACAGCACAUGUGAAGGACUGGAGAGCAGCAUUAGCUGAAGCUGGGUUCUAUUAUUUGUUGGAUGAACUAUUUGCUAUAGAAGGCAGAUGGGAAACUUAGAACACUUAUGAAUAUGCAUUUCUGAUUUUGUCUGUUUUCCCAUUAUGUCAUCAUGUGGCAUUAGUAAGCAGUCACUUCUAAUUGACUUUAAAAUCCAUUGCAAAGAGGCUUUGAAAAGCACAGGAAGCCUGUCCCACUGGUGUGGUGUGGUACCAGCCCCAUGUGGGCCAGGAGUGCUGCACUGACUGUUGGGCCAUCCCAUUCCAUCUUCAUGGGGCAGGUGCUGGAGCUGGGCUGACACCAGAGCUGCACUGGGUUCUGUGCGGCUCUGUUGGAGUUUCAGCAUUUUCCAGGCACCUUGGGAAUAGUCAGAGGCAGAGGGUUUGCAGGUUGGUCAUCCUAAGGGACGUGACUUCACCUCCAUUUAUACCACAGAGUAUUCAUUUUUAAAAAGCACCAUCCUCUCAAAAAAUGCCCUCCAGCUUUCUGUUCUGCACACCCAGCCCCACGUGGCCAUGUGCUCUGAGCUCAGGCUGCCCCAGCUCUGCUCCAUUCCCCAGCUGCCAACAGCACAGCACUGGGCAGGAAGGUGGCUUCACUGCCAAACUGCUUCCCACACACACUGCUCACAUGAAUGACCCAUAUUUGUUGCAAGCGUGAAAUUAUUUUUAUACUUGUGAAAAGAGCAUGAAUAGGAGGGCCCUAUGCCAUUUUUGUGUGGCAGUUCCCAGGCACUGCAAACACUGUGGCCCUUCUCCAGGCCCAGCCUGCUGAGAGCAAGUGAUGAAAGUGGGACAUGAGGAGAGGGUAAGGAAGAAAUCAUCUCUAAUAGGAUUUUAACAAAGUUAUCAGUUUUGUGUUUAAGCCACUAAAGACACGAUACUGACAACAGCACAAAUGAAUUAUAAGUCUGCAACACAAACACUCCUGAAAUUUUUGUAUUUACAUGGCAACCAGCUUAUUAUAUUUACAUGAACAUCUGCUGCAGGUUCACAAAAAUCUUUAAAACAGAUGGACAUGAAGAAUGAGCUAGUAAUUAACAAAGCUAUAUGUUGAUUAAAUCAGCGUGUGGUUAAUUUUAAUGAUUACUGAUCCUUAUUGGGGUCCAUAAGACUUGUCAAUACCAAAACCACUUCAGCUGAUGAACCACAGCCACAGAGCACCACACUCCUCGCUGUCCUGAUCCUGCUCCAGUGGAAUUAAUUGGAGCAAGUAAUUGUGGGCCCAUGCCAGAAAGGACUGUUGUGAGCACCCGUUGUUCUUUGAACAUAGAAACUUUCCAGAAUGGGUUUCUUUUGAGCUAGAGCGGCCCCUACAGAAAGCCACAACCCAGUGCCCCCAUUAAGAUGUUUUUGGCAAUGAGGAGCCUUCUGGUAGGAUGUUCUUGUCGCUGGAGUACACC